GAUGAACGCUGGCGGCGUGCCUAAAACAUGCAAGUCGUGCGGCAGCGGGCCUUCGGGUGCCGGCGAGCGGCGGACGGGUGAGUAACGCGUAGGAACGUACCCCAAAGUGAGGGAUAAGCUCCGGAAACGGAGUCUAAUACCGCAUAUGCUAUUAGGAGUAAAGGAGUAAUCCGCUUUGGGAGCGGCCUGCGUCCGAUUAGUUUGUUGGUGAGGUAAUGGCUUACCAAGACGACGAUCGGUAGCUGGUUUGAGAGGAUGAUCAGCCACACUGGGACUGGGACACGCCCCAGACUCCUACGGGAGGCAGCAGUUAGGAAUUUUCCACAAUGGGGGCAACCCUGAUGGAGCAACGCCGCGUGCAGGAAGACGGCCUUCGGGUUGUAAACUGCUUUUAAAAGUGAAGAUUAUGACGGUAACUUUAGAAUAAGGAUCGGCUAACUCCGUGCCAGCCGCCGCAGUAA
rnacentral:rRNA from 1 species